UAAUACAGAGGUCUCGAGCGUUAGUCGGAAUCACUGGGCUUAAAGCGUACGUAGGCGGAGGUGCAGGCGUCGUGUGAAAUCCCCCGGCUCAACCGGGGAAUAGCACGGCGAACCGCACCUCUUGAGAGAGGUAGGGGCGGUCGGAACGAUAGGUGGAGUGGUGAAAUGCGUUGAUAUCUAUCGGAACGCCGAAGGUGAAAACAGGCCGCUGGGCCUUCUCUGACGCUGAGGUACGAAAGCGUGGGUAGCGAACGGGAUUAGAUACCCCGGUAGUCCACGCCGUAAACGAUGUGCACGUGAUCGAGGAUGGGUCUGACCCCAAUCUCGGUCGAAGUAAAAACGAUGAGUGCACCGCCUGGGGAGUACGGUCGCAAGGCUA
rnacentral:rRNA from 1 species